UUAAUACUAGAAGAUAUUGCCCAAAAUAGGCUAAAACCAUGUAGUCACGAGUUCAGCUCCUAUCUGAUAAAAAACCAAAACUAAAAAAACUGCUCCUAAAAAGUAAAAUGUUCUAUUUAUACUACACAGGAAAAACCGGACAAAAAUACCCCUGAGGGUCUGGCGCGGACCGCGCACAAAUGACGCACGACCGCGGAGGGUUUUGGGUCUUCAUAUCUUGCUUCUGGCACUGAGGACGCGGACCGCACAAAAGUGACGCGCGACCGCAUGAACUUCAUCCACGCGGACCGCACUGAUUAGGUGUGCGGCCGCGUGGGCUUUUGCCUUGAAUGAUUGAGUCUCUGACACUCUUAGGCGCGGACCGCAAGAAAAGGGGCGCAGACCGCGUGAAAAGGAGCGCGAACUGCGCAGCUUGACUUAAAAAUGGCAUGGCCUCUGAACUUUUCUGUGUGGCCGCGUGGCAAAACAGUGCGGACCGCACAGGUUGACCUUGAAAAUGCCCAGCCUCUGAACUCUCUUGUGCGGCCGCGUGACAAAACAGUGCGGACCGCACAGGUCAUUUUGUUCCCCCCUUUUGUUGUUUUUUGACACUUGGCAGAUUUCACUCCUUUUUGAGCCGAUCUUUAGUAUUUGUCAUCUUGUUGCUCAAACCUGCAAUCAAACGCAACUUGUAAGCAUAUUGGGACUAAUUUAUGGUAGUUAAUGCACAAAGCUUAGGUAAGAAUUGGUAUAAAACAUGUAGAAAUCACAGUUAUCAUGUAUCAACUAGCAAUCUGGUCUCCAUUAUACUAUCUCUGUGCUCUGAAAUUACAAGAUACUUGGACGUGGAGGAAGAGGAUGCGAAGUCUCUUAAGUAAACCAUGUUCAAGCUGCAUGAAAAAAAAAUUUAGUACCUAAGUCCAAAGUGCAGAGUAACAAUAAUGAUCUUUAAAGAGCAUGUAUAAGUUUGCCUCAUACGUAAAAAAAAAAGUAUGUUCGUGUCAAACUUUUUUUUUAGAUUUUCGUUGCGAAAUUUUAAAGGUGUUCGUCUCGAACUUUUAAAGGCAUUUGAAUUUUUAAGAUUUUCAUUUCGAACUUUUAAAAGUCGUAUGUUUCGAACUUUUAAAGGUGCUCGCCUUGAACUUUUCAAGGUGCUCGUUGUGAACUUUAAAGGGUCAUCAUUGCCGACUUUUAAAGAUUUCUACCACGAGCUUUUAAUGGUCUUCGCAAUAAGUUUUUAAAGGUCUUCAUCACGUGCUUUUAAAAGUCUUCACCAUGAACUUCUAAAGGUCUUCAGUGUGAACCUUUAAAGAUCUUGACUACGAGAUUUUAAGGAUCUUUGCGCCAAUUUUUAUGGGUCUUCGCCAUAAAUUUUAAAGGUCUUCGUCGCAAACUUAUCUUCAUCUCGAACUCUUAAAGUACUUCAUAGUUUGACGAAGUUACUUACAUUGUCUAAAAAAAAGAGACAACUUAAUAAAAAAAACACGAGAAAUAAAGAAGAAAUUACCUUCAAUUCUUUCAAGCGCCAAAGGCCUACUCGAACAACUUGCAAACA
rnacentral:lncRNA from 1 species